rnacentral:rRNA from 1 species
UACAGAGGGUGCAAGCGUUAAUCGGAUUUACUGGGCGUAAAGCGCGCGUAGGCGGCUAAUUAAGUCAAAUGUGAAAUCCCCGAGCUUAACUUGGGAAUUGCAUUCGAUACUGGUUAGCUAGAGUGUGGGAGAGGAUGGUAGAAUUCCAGGUGUAGCGGUGAAAUGCGUAGAGAUCUGGAGGAAUACCGAUGGCGAAGGCAGCCAUCUGGCCUAACACUGACGCUGAGGUGCGAAAGCUAGGGGAGCAAACGGG